CCCAGCUGUAGGCAGCUGCCUAAGUUACCUUAUACCUAGGCAAGUGUUACAGUGCUGGGAGAAAAGCAGCCAAUAGCUGGUGGGCAUCCUGGGCCUGGUUAAUGCCAAAUUUGUGUUAACUAUACCAGUGCACAUAAA
ensembl:snoRNA SNORA74 Small nucleolar RNA SNORA74